GAAGAAAAUUUAAAUAGGUUUUUAUCACACACACACACACACACACGCACACACACACACAUACACACACACAGUAGCUGGGCACUGGUGAUGCAGGUUUGUAAUCCAAGGAGCAGAGGCAGGAGAAUCUCAAGAGUUUGUGGCCAGUCUGAUUUCCACAGUGAGACCUUGUUUCUAAACUUUGUCAUCUCACAAACAAGGUUUUCUCUUUUUUUUGAUCUUGAGAUCAACUUAUACACGCUAAAAAGAGGAGGCUGAAAUUUUGUUUUUCUCUUUAGUCCCUUUAGGCAAGGGAAAGUAUUUUGUGUGUUUGAUGAACGCUGGGUUUUUGUGUAUUGAGUGGAGGGUCUCUAAAGAACAUUAUUCAUAUGUAUUAUUCCCACGUUAUAAUCAGAGGCCCAUAAGGACUAAAUGUUGGGGUGCUUGAAUGAGGGUUACAGGUAAAUCUUGGAUCGGCAACUUCACUGAGGCUGGAGGUUCAGGCUAGACAACUCUUUCUUCCUUUGUUGACUUAGUAAAAGUGAUUUCAGAUCUCUGGGAAGACGACAGGACAAUGUCGGGGUGUCGUUUUCCUCCCUCCUAGGUCCAGUGUGGGUCUCAGCCUCUCGCGAGCCCCGAAUGCCCGCUUCCUGCGGCUGCAGCUCCACGGCGCCUGGGAACCCUGAUCCCACGGCCGCGUGACCGGGCCACAAACGCGCGGCGCUGCACGUCUCGCGCCGCCCCGGAGCUCGCGCCGCCGCCGCUGCCGCUCGCCAGGCUCCCAGGACUCGGGCCACCGCCAUGCUCUUCCGCUUCGGCGUGGUGGUGCCGCCCGCGGUGGCCGGCGCUCGGCAGGAGCUGCUGCUCGCCGGCUCGCGGCCCGAGUUAGGGCGCUGGGAGCCGCACGGCGCCGUGCGUCUCAGGCCCGCGGGUACCGCGGCGGGCGCCGCUGCGCUGGCGCUGCAGGAGCCCGGCCUGUGGCUCGCCGAGGUGGAGCUGGAGGCGUACGAGGAGGCCGGCGGGGCGGAGCCGGGCCGCGUUGACACGUUCUGGUACAAGUUCCUGCAGCGCGAGCCUGGAGGCGAGCUGCACUGGGAAGGAAAUGGACCUCACCAUGACCGUUGCUGCACAUAUAAUGAGGACAACUUGGUGGAUGGUGUUUAUUGUCUCCCAGUAGGACACUGGAUUGAGGCCACUGGGCACACCAAUGAAAUGAAGCACACAACAGACUUCUAUUUUAAUAUUGCUGGCCACCAAGCCAUGCACUAUUCAAGAAGUUCGAGAUCCAGAUGUCUCCAUCUUAGAAGAUAUCUUCACACACUUGAACCCAGCAAAUUCUACCAAAUAUCUGGCUGGGUAGCUGCCCUCGCCAACUGGAACAUGUGACCAUCAAACUGAAGCAUGAACUGGGAGUUACAGCUGUCAUGAAUUUCCAGACUGAAUGGGAUAUCAUCCAGAAUUCUUCAGGCUGCAACCGCUACCCUGAACCCAUGACUCCAGACACCAUGAUGAAGCUGUAUAAGGAAGAAGGCUUGUCCUACAUCUGGAUGCCCACUCCAGACAUGAGCACUGAGGGCCGAGUGCAGAUGCUGCCACAGGCUGUGUGUCUCCUGCACGCGCUUCUGGAGAAUGGACACACGGUGUAUGUCCACUGCAACGCUGGCGUGGGUCGCUCCACAGCUGCAGUGUGCGGCUGGCUCCACUAUGUGAUUGGCUGGAAUCUGCGCAAGGUGCAGUACUUCAUCAUGGCCAAGAGGCCUGCGGUCUACAUUGACGAGGACGCUUUGGCUCAAGCACAACAAGACUUUUCUCAGAAGUUCGGGAAGGUUCACUCUUCCAUAUGCGCUUUGUAGGUGAUCAGCCCUCCAUUCCGUCUAGCUGCCUUAGUAAGGAACCUGGGGGUGUGGUUAGUGGAAGACCUGGAGACAAAGGGGACUGUGGCUGGUGUCACCUGGAGAUGCCCUCUAUUGUGGCUUGGUUGGGCUUGUGUUUGAAAUGCUUUACAAAGGAAAACUGCAUGCCACAUGAGAAAACUUCAAAGUACACUUGCAAUGCAGUGUAUGCCUGUAGUUGCUGCUGCCACCGGCAGGGGGCCUUUGCUUACAGGGUCUGCAUAGGUUGUUAUGGAUUUGUGACUUUGGCAUGCAGAAGACAAGAGAGUGGUUAAGUGGAUCUUAUCAUUACUGUGAGUGUGAGACACACACACAUACACAACACACUGUAUGUGCAUACAUGAAACACAAACAGCUUUUUACUGAACAGAAUUAUAGACAUUUGCUGGUGGAAGGGAUAACUAUGUACAUCUAACUAGGACUCAGAAAGAGCUCCUGCGCAUGGUCAUAGAACAAUGGCGUUCUGUAAUUUCCUUCAUUCUGCUUCAUAGUUGCUGACAUCUCAGAGACGCCAUCCUCCUAAUUUUCCUGUCCUUCCAAUAGAACAACAGGAGUAGAGUUGCUCUCUGUUUUUUUCUUGUCUUUUUAUUGCCUUUUUUUUUUUUUUUUCUUUCUUGAGGCAGAGUUUGUACUGCUUGUUUAGGAUAACACACAAAGUUCAGCCUUGAACGCAUGGUGAUCCUCCCCGCUCAGCCUCCUGAGGACUGGGAUUAAAGGUGUGUGCCUCCAUACUCUUGACACCAGUUUUCAGUUGAGGAUUGUUGAGCAUAGCUGGCUUGCCCAAUCUCACAGUGGGUAGGAAGGAGAUGAAGUUUGGAAUCCAGUUUCUUUGGCUCAGAGCUGCUUUCAGUACCACUUGUUUUUAGCAGACUGUCAUGGCUGCAGCUCUGUCUCUCUUGGGGUAAACUUGCUACCCCUGUGGUUGGGUCUAUGGUGGGAAAUGAAACAGUGUUCUGAUCCAUUGCCAAAGGAUGUAGGAAAACAGUUGGGUUUUGUUCAACCUACUGUAAGCUCUGGUGUAUGUUCUCAAGGCUAAUUUAUCUGAGCCACAGUUCAAGAGAGGAAGGAGCCUGGGGAGGUCAUGUCCAGAUUCUUGGACAGCUAGGGGCUGAUCCUGGCUUGGCACUCAAUUCAGUAUAACACACAAUUGCUGCUCCUCCCAAAUAUGUGCUCAGUUCCAUUAGAUUCUAUCAGAAGCACAAACAUCAGCAAAACUUUGCCUCCCAAGAUAUAAAACCUAGAAACAGACCUGUGUUCCACCCUCUGCAAGAUAAUGUCCAACUACCAAGGUGAUGUUAAGGGCAUAGAAGGGGCAUAUUUGUCUUCAGUUGAAUGCCAUUGUGUGCCAGUUGCUCCCCUACCUCUGAUGACAUCUCUGUUCUCCCUGGGAAAGGUCAUCAUCUCUGUUCAGAUGGGGAAGUUGAGGCCCAGAGAAUUUAAAGCACAUGUUCAUUUCUGUUGUCAUGGAUACAAAGCUAGGUUUGUCUCUCAACUCUCAUACUGCCAAAAGUUAAACUAUGAUGCUUAAAUAUGUUUCUCUGCCUUAUUUUAUAAGUGUGUGAUAAUAGAUAGCAGAGAGAUUAUUUGGGAGGGGCAGAGACAAUAAGGCCACAGCAUAAGUUAAGUACUGCUCAGGAAAGGGAGUAUAAUCUCAGUCAGCAUGGUGACACUCAGAGGAGGCAGACAAAGAAGGAGGGAGGGAGGGAGGGAUGGAGGGACAGAGAGAGAGAGAGAGAGAGAGAGGAGAGGAGAGAUUUUUUUCAGCAUGAUGAUGCCCAUGGGAGGUGGCAUUUGCUUUGGGCAGAGCAGCCUACAGGAAACAUUUCUCUUGUAAUUUAAGAAAGUUAAGUCUAUAAACCAGCAUCAAGUGAUGUCUAGCCUCCCCUGUGCAAUACAGCUAGUUGUAUUUGUUGUGUUUAAGAACCAUUAAUGUAUUAUGUAAAAUUAAAUUUUAAAUGGAAUAUUUUAAACUGAUACAGUGGUGUAUGUGUGUGUAUAUGUAAUUUUCUUAAUGUCUUAAGAAAUCUGGCUAUAUAAGUUCCACUGUACAAUGUCCUUUUCAGGUGGAAUUUUCUCUAUUGCUUUGAUAAACAGAGUUGUUUGGAAUUAUUGAAGAACAUUUUAAAAUGACUCCCUCAGUGAGUGCGUUGUCCAGUGUAUCUCAAAAAUCACCUAGGAGUUUUGCUAAAUAAAAACAUAAAAAAAAGA